rnacentral:rRNA from 1 species
AGAAUCAACGCUGGCGGCGUGCCUAACACAUGCAAGUCGAACGAGAAAGUGGAGCAAUCCAUGAGUAAAGUGGCGCACGGGUGAGUAACACGUGACUAACCUACCCUUGAGUGGGGGAUAACCUAGGGAACCUGGGCUAAUACCGCAUAAUACCUUCGGGUCAAAGGAGCAAUUCGCUUAAGGAGGGGUCGCGGCCGAUUAGUUAGUUGGCGGGGUAAUGGCCCACCAAGACUAUGAUCGGUAU